rnacentral:rRNA from 1 species
UACGUAGGGUGCAAGCGUUAAUCGGAAUUACUGGGCGUAAAGGGUGCGUAGGCGGUUGUUUAAGUCUGACGUGAAAUCCCCGGGCUCAACCUGGGAAUUGCGUUGGAGACUGCAAGGCUGGAGUCUGGCAGAGGGGGGUAGAAUUCCACGUGUAGCAGUGAAAUGCGUAGAGAUGUGGAGGAACACCGAUGGCGAAGGCAGCCCCCUGGGUCAAGACUGACGCUCAUGCACGAAAGCGUGGGGAGCAAACAGG